UUAAGCGACUAAGCGUACACGGUGGAUGCCCUGGCAGUCAGAGGCGAUGAAGGACGUGCUAAUCUGCGAUAAGCGCCGGUAAGGUGAUAUGAACCGUUAUAACCGGCGAUUUCCGAAUGGGGAAACCCAGUGUGACUCGUCACACUAUCAUUAACUGAAUCCAUAGGUUAAUGAGGCGAACCGGGGGAACUGAAACAUCUAAGUACCCCGAGGAAAAGAAAUCAACCGAGAUUCCCCCAGUAGCGGCGAGCGAACGGGGAGGAGCCCAGAGCCUGAAUCAGCAUGUGUGUUAGUGGAAGCGUCUGGAAAGGCGCGCGAUACAGGGUGACAGCCCCGUACACAAAAGCGCAUGUGCUGUGAGCUCGAUGAGUAGGGCGGGACACGUGGUAUCCUGUCUGAAUAUGGGGGGACCAUCCUCCAAGGCUAAAUACUCCUGACUGACCGAUAGUGAACCAGUACCGUGAGGGAAAGGCGAAAAGAACCCCGGCGAGGGGAGUGAAAAAGAACCUGAAACCGUGUACGUACAAGCAGUGGGAGCACAGGUUUACCUGUGUGACUGCGUACCUUUUGUAUAAUGGGUCAGCGACUUAUAUUCUGUAGCAAGGUUAACCGUAUAGGGGAGCCGUAGGGAAACCGAGUCUUAACCGGGCGUUAAGUUGCAGGGUAUAGACCCGAAACCCGGUGAUCUAGCCAUGGGCAGGUUGAAGGUUGGGUAACACUAACUGGAGGACCGAACCGACUAAUGUUGAAAAAUUAGCGGAUGACCUGUGGCUGGGGGUGAAAGGCCAAUCAAACCGGGAGAUAGCUGGUUCUCCCCGAAAGCUAUUUAGGUAGCGCCUCGUGAAUUCAUCUCCGGGGGUAGAGCACUGUUUCGGCUAGGGGGCCAUCCCGGCUUACCAACCCGAUGCAAACUGCGAAUACCGGAGAAUGUUAUCACGGGAGACACACGGCGGGUGCUAACGUCCGUCGUGAAGAGGGAAACAACCCAGACCGCCAGCUAAGGUCCCAAAGUCAUGGUUAAGUGGGAAACGAUGUGGGAAGGCCCAGACAGCCAGGAUGUUGGCUUAGAAGCAGCCAUCAUUUAAAGAAAGCGUAAUAGCUCACUGGUCGAGUCGGCCUGCGCGGAAGAUGUAACGGGGCUAAACCAUGCACCGAAGCUGCGGCAGCGACGCUGAUGCGUUGUUGGGUAGGGGAGCGUUCUGUAAGCCUGUGAAGGUGGCCUGUGAGGGUUGCUGGAGGUAUCAGAAGUGCGAAUGCUGACAUAAGUAACGAUAAAGCGGGUGAAAAGCCCGCUCGCCGGAAGACCAAGGGUUCCUGUCCAACGUUAAUCGGGGCAGGGUGAGUCGACCCCUAAGGCGAGGCCGAAAGGCGUAGUCGAUGGGAAACGGGUUAAUAUUCCCGUACUUGGUGUUACUGCGAAGGGGGGACGGAGAAGGCUAUGUUGGCCGGGCGACGGUUGUCCCGGUUUAAGCGUGUAGGUGUGUGUUCCAGGUAAAUCCGGUUCACUUUAACACUGAGGCGUGACGACGAGGCACUACGGUGCUGAAGCAACAAAUGCCCUGCUUCCAGGAAAAGCCUCUAAGCAUCAGGUAACAUCAAAUCGUACCCCAAACCGACACAGGUGGUCAGGUAGAGAAUACCAAGGCGCUUGAGAGAACUCGGGUGAAGGAACUAGGCAAAAUGGUGCCGUAACUUCGGGAGAAGGCACGCUGACACGUAGGUGAAGUGAUUUACUCAUGGAGCUGAAGUCAGUCGAAGAUACCAGCUGGCUGCAACUGUUUAUUAAAAACACAGCACUGUGCAAACACGAAAGUGGACGUAUACGGUGUGACGCCUGCCCGGUGCCGGAAGGUUAAUUGAUGGGGUCAGCGCAAGCGAAGCUCCUGAUCGAAGCCCCGGUAAACGGCGGCCGUAACUAUAACGGUCCUAAGGUAGCGAAAUUCCUUGUCGGGUAAGUUCCGACCUGCACGAAUGGCGUAAUGAUGGCCAGGCUGUCUCCACCCGAGACUCAGUGAAAUUGAACUCGCUGUGAAGAUGCAGUGUACCCGCGGCAAGACGGAAAGACCCCGUGAACCUUUACUAUAGCUUGACACUGAACAUUGAGCCUUGAUGUGUAGGAUAGGUGGGAGGCUUUGAAGUGUGGACGCCAGUCUGCAUGGAGCCGACCUUGAAAUACCACCCUUUAAUGUUUGAUGUUCUAACGUGGACCCGUGAUCCGGGUUGCGGACAGUGUCUGGUGGGUAGUUUGACUGGGGCGGUCUCCUCCUAAAGAGUAACGGAGGAGCACGAAGGUUGGCUAAUCCUGGUCGGACAUCAGGAGGUUAGUGCAAUGGCAUAAGCCAGCUUGACUGCGAGCGUGACGGCGCGAGCAGGUGCGAAAGCAGGUCAUAGUGAUCCGGUGGUUCUGAAUGGAAGGGCCAUCGCUCAACGGAUAAAAGGUACUCCGGGGAUAACAGGCUGAUACCGCCCAAGAGUUCAUAUCGACGGCGGUGUUUGGCACCUCGAUGUCGGCUCAUCACAUCCUGGGGCUGAAGUAGGUCCCAAGGGUAUGGCUGUUCGCCAUUUAAAGUGGUACGCGAGCUGGGUUUAGAACGUCGUGAGACAGUUCGGUCCCUAUCUGCCGUGGGCGCUGGAGAACUGAGGGGGGCUGCUCCUAGUACGAGAGGACCGGAGUGGACGCAUCACUGGUGUUCGGGUUGUCAUGCCAAUGGCACUGCCCGGUAGCUAAAUGCGGAAGAGAUAAGUGCUGAAAGCAUCUAAGCACGAAACUUGCCCCGAGAUGAGUUCUCCCUGAGACUUAGAGUCUCCUGAAGGAACGUUGAAGACGACGACGUUGAUAGGCCGGGUGUGUAAGCGCAGCGAUGCGUUGAGCUAACCGGUACUAAUGAACCGUGAGGCUUAACCU
rnacentral:rRNA from 1 species